rnacentral:lncRNA from 1 species
AGUAUUCCAAAAGGUUCUGCAACCUAAAAUUCCGUAGUACUUCUACAAGAACCAGAGAAAGAAGUGGCGACAUCACAUUUGGACACGACAGUUUGAUAGCAUAACAUUGGAUGUUGGUGCAUCUCGGACUCAAUAAUAGUGCUUCUCUGAAAAAGUUUAAACAUUUUAUUUGGUAGAGUUUCCAAAUUUGUACGAGACUUUCUGAUAAAUAUGUAAAAUCCAACUGCUUAAGAACAUUCAAUUAAUAAUGCUUCAAAUCUGACUCUAAAUUUUAUAUUUGAUAAAAUUAUUUUUAAUAAAUAGAACUAUUUAUUGGAGCAAACAUUACUCUAUUUUCAGAAAACUCUAUUUCUAAAACAAAAAAAAAUAAAGAUAGCUUUAAAAAAUAAUCUAAGUGAUUAUGUACAUUUAUUUCUCUCUAUGAUUCAAUAUUCUUUACCUUCUCCGAAAUAUUUAUUUGCAUCACUAAUGCAUACUUCAACUAAUUUUGGCCAAUAUGAAAUAUGAUCUAUAUAGUCCCUUGG